rnacentral:tRNA from 1 species
GUUUUUAUAGUUGAAUUACAACGGUGGUUUUUCAAGUCACUAGUCCUGGUUAAAACCCUGGUAGAAAUU